GAUGAACGCUGGCGGCGUGCCUAAUACAUGCAAGUCGAGCGAAUGGAUUGAGAGCUUGCUCUUAUGAAGUUAGCGGCGGACGGGUGAGUAACACGUGGGUAACCUGCCCAUAAGACUGGGAUAACUCCGGGAAACCGGGGCUAAUACCGGAUAACAUUUUGAACCGCAUGGUUCGAAAUUGAAAGGCGGCUUCGGCUGUCACUUAUGGAUGGACCCGCGUCGCAUUAACUAGUUGGUGAGGUAACGGCUCACCAAGGCAACGAUGCGUAGCCGACCUGAGAGGGUGAUCGGCCACGCUGGGACUGGGACACGGCCCAGACUCCUACGGGAGGGAGCAGUAGGGAAUCUUCCGCAAUGGACGAAAGUCUGACGGAGCAACGCCGCGUGAGUGAUGAAGGCUUUCGGGUCGUAAAACUCUGUUGUUAGGGAAGAACAAGUGCUAGUUGAAUAAGCUGGCACCUUGACGGUACCUAACCAGAAAGCCACGGCUAACUACGUGCCAGCCGCCGCGGUAA
rnacentral:rRNA from 1 species